UAGAUUGAAGCCCGCUGGUUUGGGUUUUUAGUUGUUAACUUAAAUAUUUUAUGGGAUCAAGGCCCGUCGAUCUAG
rnacentral:tRNA from 1 species